rnacentral:pre_miRNA from 1 species
UUUAGUUUUUACCUAUAAUGUUUGACUCUUUAUAUUAUUUAAAAAACCUACGAUUAAUAUUUUUAUUUUUAUUAGAUGAUAAAAUAUGAAUAGUACUUUACAUGUGACUAAUUUUUUUAAUUUUUUUUAAAAAAAUUAAAUAAGACGGAUGAUCAAACGCUAGACACAAAAACCAAAG